AGAGUUUGAUCCUGGGUCAGGAUGAACGCUGGCGGCGUGCCUAAUACAUGCAAGUCGAGCGAACUGACGAGGAGCUUGCUCCUUUGACGUUAGCGGCGGACGGGUGAGUAACACGUGGGUAACCUACCUAUAAGACUGGAAUAACUCCGGGAAACCGGGGCUAAUGCCGGAUAACAUGUUGAACCGCAUGGUUCAACAGUGAAAGACGGUCUUGCUGUCACUUAUAGAUGGACCCGCGCCGUAUUAGCUAGUUGGUAAGGUAACGGCUUACCAAGGCGACGAUACGUAGCCGACCUGAGAGGGUGAUCGGCCACACUGGAACUGAGACACGGUCCAGACUCCUACGGGAGGCAGCAGUAGGGAAUCUUCCGCAAUGGGCGAAAGCCUGACGGAGCAACGCCGCGUGAGUGAUGAAGGUCUUCGGAUCGUAAAGCUCUGUUGUUAGGGAAGAACAUAUGUGUAAGUAACUGUGCACAUCUUGACGGUACCUAACCAGAAAGCCACGGCUAACUACGUGCCAGCAGCCGCGGUAAU
rnacentral:rRNA from 1 species